rnacentral:lncRNA from 1 species
GGGUCUGAACCACAGGAGAAGCCCUGAAUCUAAGAAUGAGGCCAAUCAGGGCUGAGUGGUCAGGUUGAAAGAAUCAGCUAAUAGAAAAGCAGACUUGGCUGAGUGAAGGGAUGACCCAGCAACCAGGCUGCAGUGCGUUAAGGCUGAUGAGGCACUUGGAGAGGUGACCCGGAGUGCGGACUGUGAAAACGAGUCUCAGAACCCAAGCUCUGGCCCUCAUGGUGAAACGAGAAGAGUACUAGGGCUUUUCUUCAGGGAGCCUGGGAGGGCAUUCGAGGGAGCAGGACUGCCGACCAGAGACUGGUGAACCUCGCUGGAGAUAGCCAAGAAUGGAACUACUCUGCUAAUAUAUGCUGACUGACAGCAAACUAUUCCGGCCUUCAGUUGACUGGAAGAGGGCCACCCAGUUAGGGUGAGGAAUCUGUUUUACUCAGUCUAGCAAUUUUUAAUUUUUUAAUAUUUAUUUUUAUUUAUAUGGCCAUGC